AUUUAGGUAGUUUAAAAGAAAAUAUUGAUUUGUGGUAUCAAAGUUAUAGAAAUUAUCCUGAAUU
rnacentral:tRNA from 1 species